GAGGAAAGGUUUACAUGAGAGAGAAUGACAAAGACAUCAGUCUGACCUUAUCACAAGCUCACAACAUCAUCGUCUACCUUAGUUCACUCCUAAAAUACGGCACUGGCUUCUUCAAUCUUAACAUCUAAAAUCCUGAAGAAUCUUUGGUAGAGAGAUGAGCGACCCCAAGUAUGGUUAUCCUUACCCUGCCCAAGGUUAUUAUCAAGGACCUCCAGUGAUGGCACCUCCACAAUAUUACGCCGCUCCACCGCCUCGGAGAGAGCCUGGUUUCCUUGAGGGAUGCCUUGCAGCUUUGUGCUGUUGCUGCCUUAUUGACGAGUGUUGCUGCGACCCUUCCUUCUUUUUCUGACUGAGCUAGAUAUCAUGCUGCUUCUAAGAAUAGUUAUAGCUACGUGAUAAAUGUUGAGUAUUAGUGUAUUGAUGAAUGCUGUUGUUUAUUGGCUUGGAGCGUUUUACUCCCAUGUUUAGUACAUGUGGACAUCAAGAAUCUUAGUUUUAAUUCUCUUAACUUGAUGGAUUUAAAUUGGCUUGAAAUUAAAUUGUCUAAUAAGGAUGUGUUUGUUA